rnacentral:ncRNA from 2 species
GGACCAUCCAGAGCGGCCGAGAGACCUGGCUCGACGACGCCGCAGCAACCCCCCGCGACCGCGGGCGAGGGUGCUCAUGCCGGGAACGAUGGAGG